AUGAAACUUCAUGNNNNNNNNNNNNNNNNNNNNCCCUGCCAGUGUCUCCGCCGGUUGAAAGCGCGUGUCUGCGUCGGGUUCUGUUUGAGAGCGUUCGGUGCGCCGUGGGUCCGCGCUGCUUCCACCCAACUUCCUGUUAGAGUUUCUCUCCUGUCACAAUGGCAUGAUCUCGGCUCACUGCGACCUCUGCUUCCUGGGUUCAAGGAUUCUCCUGCCUCAGCCUCCCAAGUAGCUGGGAUUACAGACGGAGUCUUGCCCUCUUGUGCAGGCUGGAGUGCAGUGCUGUGCUCUUGGCUCACCACAACCUCUGCCUCCUGGGUUCAAGCAAUUCUCCUCACUCAGCCUCCCGAGUAGCUGGGAUUACAGGCAUGUGCCACUAUGCCCGGCUACUUUUGUAUUUUUAGUUGAAAUGGGGUUUGUUUACGUUGGUCAUGUUGGUAUUGAAUUCCCGACCUCAUGUGAUCCGCCUGCCUCAGCCUCCCAAAGUGCUGGGGUUAGAGGCAUGAGCCACCAUACCGGCCUUUUUUAUUUUUUAUUUUUUUUGAAGUAGGGUCUUGCACUGUUACCGAGGCUGGAGUGCAGUGGUUCGAUCUUAGCUUACUGCAACCUCCAUAAUCUGGGCUCAAGUAGUCCUUCCACCUCAGCCUCCCUAGUAGCUGGGACUGAAGCUGUGUGCCACCAUGCCUGGCUAGUUUUUAUAUUAUUAGGAGAGAUGGG
rnacentral:lncRNA from 1 species